CCUACGGGAGGCAGCAGUGGGGAAUUUUGGACAAUGGGCGCAAGCCUGAUCCAGCCAUGCCGCGUGUGGGAAGAAGGCCUUCGGGUUGUAAACCACUUUUGUCAGGGAAGAAACGGUUUGUCCUAAUACGGCGGACUAAUGACGGUACCUGAAGAAUAAGCACCGGCUAACUACGUGCCAGCAGCCGCGGUAAUACGUAGGGUGCAAGCGUUAAUCGGAAUUACUGGGCGUAAAGCGUGCGCAGGCGGCUUUGCAAGACAGAUGUGAAAUCCCCGGGCUCAACCUGGGAACUGCAUUUGUGACUGCAUGGCUAGAGUACGGUAGAGGGGGAUGGAAUUCCGCGUGUAGCAGUGAAAUGCGUAGAUAUGCGGAGGAACACCGAUGGCGAAGGCAAUCCCCUGGACCUGUACUGACGCUCAUGCACGAAAGCGUGGGGAGCAAACAGGAUUAGAUACCCUGGUAGUCCACGCCCUAAACGAUGUCAACUGGUUGUUGGACGGCUUGCUGUUCAGUAACGAAGCUAACGCGUGAAGUUGACCGCCUGGGGAGUAACGGCCGCAAGGUUGAAACUUCAAAGGAAUUGACGG
rnacentral:rRNA from 1 species